CGCCGCGUGAGGGAUGAAGGCCUCUGGGCUGUAAACCUCUUUUCUCAAGGAAGAAGACCUGACGGUACUUGAGGAAUAAGCCACGGCUAAUUCCGUGCCAGCAGCCGCGGUAAUACGGGAGUGGCAAGCGUUAUCCGGAAUUAUUGGGCGUAAAGCGUCCGCAGGUGGCCCUGUAAGUCUGUCGUUAAAGCGUGGAGCUUAACUCCAUUUAAGCGAUGGAAACUACAGGGCUAGAGUGUGGUAGGGGCAGAGGGAAUUCCCGGUGUAGCGGUGAAAUGCGUAGAUAUCGGGAAGAACACCAGUGGCGAAGGCGCUCUGCUGGGCCAUCACUGACACUCAUGGACGAAAGCCAGGGGAGCGAAAGGGAUUAGAUACCCCUGUAGUCCUGGCCGUAAACGAUGAACACUAGGUGUCGGGGGAAUCGACCCCCUCGGUGUCGUAGCCAACGCGUUAAGUGUUCCGCCUGGGGAGUACGCACGCAAGUGUGAAACUCAAAGGAAUUGACGGGGGCCCGCACAAGCGGUGGAGUAUGUGGUUUAAUUCGAUGCAACGCGAAGAACCUUACCAGGGUUUGACAUCCUGCGAAUCCCUUGGAAACGAGGGAGUGCCUUCGGGAGCGCAGAGACAGGUGGUGCAUGGCUGUCGUCAGCUCGUGUCGUGAGAUGUUGGGUUAAGUCCCGCAACGAGCGCAACCCACGUCGUUAGUUGCCAGCAUUCAGUUGGGCACUCUAGCGAGACCGCCGGUGAUAAACCGGAGGAAGGUGUGGAUGACGUCAAGUCAUCAUGCCCCUUACAUCCUGGGCUACACACGUACUACAAUGCUACGGACAAAGGGCAGCAAGCUCGCGAGAGUUAGCAAAUCCCAUAAACCGUGGCUCAGUUCAGAUCGUAGGCUGCAACUCGCCUACGUGGAGGAGGAAUCGCUAGUAAUCGCAGGUCAGCAUACUGCGGUGAAUACGUUC
rnacentral:rRNA from 1 species